rnacentral:rRNA from 1 species
AUAGGUGUUUAUAUCACCCUGCAGCCAAAGACUUGCACACUUGACUUGGUUGCACACUGAAGCUAAGCAGGGUUGAGCCUGGUCAGUACCUGGAUGGGAGACCUACUGGGAAAACUAGGUUGCUGUU